CUCCUACGGGAGGCAGCAGUCGGGAAUUUUGCUCAAUGGGCGAAAGCCUGAAGCAGCAACGCCGCGUGAGGGAUGAAGGCCUUCGGGUUGUAAACCUCUUUUUCCAGGGACGAUAAUGACGGUACCUGAAGAAUAAGUCACGGCUAACUACGUGCCAGCAGCCGCGGUAAUACGUAGGUGACAAGCGUUGUCCGGAUUUACUGGGCGUAAAGAGCGCGCAGGCGGUCGUUCGAGUCGAGUGUGAAAGCCCCCGGCUCAACUGGGGAGGGUCAUUCGAUACUGAUCGACUCGAAGGCAGGAGAGGGAAGCGGAAUUCCCGGUGUAGUGGUGAAAUGCGUAGAUAUCGGGAGGAACACCAGUGGCGAAGGCGGCUUCCUGGUCUGCUUCUGACGCUAAGAGGCGAAAGCUAGGGGAGCGAACGGGAUUAGAAACCCCGGUAGUCCUAGCCAUAAACGAUGGAUACUAGGUGUUGGUGGUCCUAACCCCAUCAGUGCCGAAGCUAACGCGUUAAGUGUCCCGCCUGGGGAGUACGGCCGCAAGGCUGAAACUCAAAGGAAUUGACGG
rnacentral:rRNA from 1 species